rnacentral:misc_RNA from 1 species
GUGAAUCAUCAAAUUUUUGAACGCAAAUUGCACUCUCCUCGGAGAGUAUGCCUGUUUGAGUUCCAGCCUAUAAAAAUCGACAUCGUUUCUGUUUCGCGUUGGCGUUCGGUGGAAAUUGGGUUAUCUUAAAUCCUUUUGAUUUAAGCGACUUAAAAUUUUCUUUGUGUUCCAUGAACGUUUCUAAGAUCUAUGUCUUUAUACGUUUAAGGUAUCGAUUUUUACUAUACGUAACUUUCAUAUCGGAUCGCGUCCAUAAACUUUCAGUAAUUGACCUUAGACAUGUAAGAGU